UACGGGGGGGGCUAGCGUUGUUCGGAAUUACUGGGCGUAAAGCGCACGUAGGCGGCUUUGUAAGUUAGAGGUGAAAGCCCGGGGCUCAACCCCGGAAUUGCCUUUAAGACUGCAUCGCUAGAAUUGUGGAGAGGUAAGUGGAAUUCCGAGUGUAGAGGUGAAAUUCGUAGAUAUUCGGAAGAACACCAGUGGCGAAGGCGACUUACUGGACACAUAUUGACGCUGAGGUGCGAAAAGCGUGGGGAGCAAACAGG
rnacentral:rRNA from 1 species